AUUGAACGCUGGCGGCAGGCCUAACACAUGCAAGUCGAGCGGAUGAAGGGAGCUUGCUCCUGGAUUCAGCGGCGGACGGGUGAGUAAUGCCUAGGAAUCUGCCUGGUAGUGGGGGAUAACGUCCGGAAACGGGCGCUAAUACCGCAUACGUCCUGAGGAGAAAGUGGGGGAUCUUCGGACCUCACGCUAUCAGAUGAGCCUAGGUCGGAUUAGCUAGUUGGUGGGGUAAAGGCCUACCAAGGCGACGAUCCGUAACUGGUCUGAGAGGAUGAUCAGUCACACUGGAACUGAGACACGGUCCAGAUUCCUAGGGGAGGCAGCAGUGGGAAAUAUUGGACAAGGGCGAAAGCCUGAUCCAGCCAUGCCGCGUGUGUGAAGAAGGUCUUCGGAUUGUAAAGCACUUUAAGUUGGGAGGAAGGGCAGUAAGUUAAUACCUUGCUGUUUUGACGUUACCAACAGAAUAAGCACCGGCUAACUUCGUG
rnacentral:rRNA from 1 species